GAUGAACGCUGGCGGCGUGCCUAAUACAUGCAAGUCGAGCGAACAGACGAGGAGCUUGCUCCUCUGACGUUAGCGGCGGACGGGUGAGUAACACGUGGAUAACCUACCUAUAAGACUGGGAUAACUUCGGGAAACCGGAGCUAAUACCGGAUAAUAUAUUGAACCGCAUGGUUCAAUAGUGAAAGACGGUUUUGCUGUCACUUAUAGAUGGAUCCGCGCCGCAUUAGCUAGUUGGUAAGGUAACGGCUUACCAAGGCAACGAUGCGUAGCCGACCGGAGAGGGUGAUCGGCCACACUGGAACGGAGACACGGUCCAGACUCCUACGGGAGGCAGCAGUAGGGAAUCGUCCGCAAUGGGCGAAAGCCUGACGGAGCAACGCCGCGUGAGUGAUGAAGGUCUUCGGAUCGUAAAACUCUGUUAUUAGGGAAGAACAAAUGUGUAAGUAACUAUGCACGUCUUGACGGUACCUAAUCAGAAAGCCACGGCUAACUACGUG
rnacentral:rRNA from 1 species